rnacentral:rRNA from 1 species
CCUACGGGAGGCAGCAGUGGGGAAUAUUGGGCAAUGGGCGCAAGCCUGACCCAGCAACGCCGCGUGAAGGACGAAGGCUUUCGGGUUGUAAACUUCUUUUCUCAGGGACGAAGAAAGUGACGGUAACUGAGGAAUAAGCCACGGCUAACUACGUGCCAGCAGCCGCGGUAAUACGGAGGUGGCAAGCGUUAUCCGGAUUUGUUGGGUGUAAGGGGUGUGGAGGCGGGAGUAGAAGUCAGAUGUGAAAACUCAGGGCUCAACCCUGAGCCUUCAUUUGAAACUGUGUUUCUUGAGUGCUGGGGAGGCAAUCGGAAUUCCUGGUGUAGCGGUGAAAUGCGUAGAUAUACGGAGGAACACCAGUGGCGAAGGCGGAUUGCUGGACAGUAACUGACGCUGAGGCGCGAAAGCGUGGGGAGCAAACAGGAUUAGAUACCCCUGUAGUC